rnacentral:rRNA from 1 species
GACGAACGCUGGCGGCGUGCUUAACACAUGCAAGUCGAACGGCAAGGCCCUGCUUUUGUGGGGUUCUCGAGUGGCGAACGGGUGAGUAACACGUGAGUAACCUGCCCUUCACUUUGGGAUAACUUCAGGAAACUGGGGCUAAUACCGGAUCGCAUCUCCUGUUGCAUGGUGGGGGUUGGAAAGUUGGGGCGGUUGGGGAUGGACUCGCGGCUUAUGGGCUGGUUGGUUGGGUAGUGGCUUACCAAGGGUUUGAAGGGUAGCCGGCCUGGGAGGGUGAACGGCGACAUGGGGACUGAGAGACGGCGCAGAGUGGUAUGGUAGGCAGCAGGGGGGAAUAUGGCCCAGUGGUCGGGAGCCUGAUGCGGAAGCGUCGCGGGCGGGAUGCCGGCCUUCGGGUUGUAAACCGCUUUCGCUUGUGACGAAGCGGGAGUGACGGUAAUGGGUAAAGAAGCACCGGCUAACUACGUG